UGAUUCGUGCGUCACCAGCCCGCGCCGAAGUCGGAAGUGUGGCUCAAGGCGCUGAUUCUUCUGGAGUCCUGGACCUGAGCAAGCGCUGUCUUAUCAAUCCGCGCCCAAGCAGGAAGUGCCGCUCAGGGCGAGCCCCAGUCUCAGUCUCGAGUUUUGUGGCGGAGGCCGGCUCACGUCAUCAUUAGGCGCCAACGCAGGAAGUGACGACAGUCCUCGCGCGCGCCUGUCGCUGUUCGCUGUUUUUUCUCAGGCUCCUGGACCGGUGGCGGCAGCGGUGGCAGAGGCGGCAGCGGUGGCAGCGGCGGCAGCGGCGGCGGCGACGUAGGGUGUUUUAACUCAAAUGGGUGAUGAAAAGGACUCUUGGAAAGUGAAAACUUUAGAUGAAAUUCUUCAGGAAAAGAAACGAAGGAAGGAACAAGAGGAGAAAGCAGAGAUAAAACGCUUAAAAAAUAACAACGCUUCUUCGGUGAAGUUCUUUUGUACUUCCAAAUGUCGCAGUCUGAUGACCGGGAUUCCAAGCGGGAUUCCCUUGAGGAGGGGGAGCUGAGAGACCACCGCAUGGAGAUCACGAUAAGGAACUCCCCAUAUAGAAGAGAAGACUCUAUGGAAGACAGAGGAGAAGAAGAUGAUUCUUUGGCCAUCAAACCACCCCAGCAAAUGUCUCGGAAAGAAAAAGCUCAUCACAGAAAAGAUGAAAAGAGAAAAGAGAAACGUAGGCAUCGUAGCCAUUCAGCAGAAGGGGGGAAGCAUGCUAGAGUGAAA